GUCAGCGACGAGCGAUCGAACACCAGCCGAUGCUGGAAGAACUCCUCGCCGCAGAAGAACUGAUAAUAGGGGUUCUCGACCCAGCGCUCGCACAGCACCUCGUCGGAGAGGUCGUAGGUGUGCUUGAGAAUCGCAAGCCCCGCCAUCAAUCGCGUCGGCAGCGGCGGGCGGCCCGGAUCAUCCGUGUAGACCGCCCCAAACUCCCGUUCCAGGAACUCCCAAUC
rnacentral:misc_RNA from 1 species